GGGGGGAUGGGUGCUGGGGCUUCUCAGGUGAUGGUCUGGCCACUUUCCAGCCUUGAGAGUUUACAAAGUGUGCAAAGUUUACAAAGGAGCCCAUGGCAGGGAAAGCCUUUCUUGCCACGUGAGUGGUGUGAACAGUUAACACACACACACACACACACACACACACACACACACACACUUUGUUUACUAUGGAUGAACAGUCAGGGCUUGGGAAAGCUGGCGAUGUAAUCAUUAGACUACUUCGUGCUGAGUGUCCGCGUACAGGUCCCAUCCUCCCACUGCUGUGUGGACCUUUGGUCUGUAGAGUGUGUUCUAUCUUCUCUGUCAGGGCACCAUCAGGAGUUGCAGGCCUCCAGCUUUAGAACUAAGGGCCAGUAGUCCUGUGAUAACAACGGAGUACAAGUCUGAUUAGACAUUGUUUGGAUCUGUUGUUGAAAAAACCUAGACAAGAGGUGUAUGAGACAGGGUGUGAUUGUAGGAUUGGGAAAGAGGAGACAGGAAGGGUCCAUACCAGAGUGUCAACCGUCAGUGGAUGUUAAUGGCCAGGGGCAUCAAGCUGUUGUCUCCAUUUUGGGAGAUUCAUCUGGAGUGGUGGGAUCCUAUCUUUUGCCAUGCCUGACUGCCUGAUAUAAAAGCAACAUUCCACCCCUAAGAAGAGAGAAAGGCCACCUCUCUUUGCCGUUAGCAAACCUUAACCCUUGCUGAUUUUGUAGCACUGCAGCGUCCGGUGUGGAGUCUAUUUACCCUGGACAGUGAUGAUCUGAGCCACUCAUUGGAGAUCCUGAAUGAACUUCAAGGGAAACCGAGAAGUGGUCAGUCCUGUUGUGCCAGCGGAAGCACCAGCAGUUACACCCAGAAUUGCAAGGAAAUACAGGCUCCGAGCUGCUCGUUUGUUAUGCCUUGCUGCUACAAACCCUGUGAUGGAACUGGCAAAUGUCCCUCACCAGGAUACCAGCAGCUCAGUCCAACAGCAAACACUGGAUCCAAGUCAGAAGCAGCAGUUUGAGCCAGCGGAAGUGGGAAGAGUCAGCUGGAAUAACACGAGAAAUUUCUCCAGCGUGUUUCUCUCUAUGAAGUGAAGACCAUCAAAGCGUUGCAAAGCACAGCAAUGCAAGAGCAUUCUCUCCCUGUUUAUGGAGUUCCAUUUGCACUCUUUCUAAACGUCAUGCGCCCUCUCAAGGAUCUGUUCCAGCAAAACAUCGCGCACCCUUUCACGUGUCUGCUUCAGCAAAACGCCCUCUCAUGUGUCUGUUUCAGCAAAACACCAUAUGCCCUCUCACAAAACAGCGUCCACGAAAACAUCACAUGAUACAACUAAGUCUCCAAAGAAACUAGAAAUGUCCACUUCAAGGCCCCUUCCUAGCAAGGAGAAGGACGGGUUGGUCCCACUACGGAGGAAUGGUUCAAGAUGUGGACCGUCAGCUUCUGCUUCAGCCACCAGGCCUACUGCACACUGCCAGGCUUCCUCGACACGACGAACUCUGGAUCCACAAGUCCAAAUAAAGCCUUCUAUAAGUUGUCUUGUCAUGGUGUUUUAUUACAGCAAUGAUGCAGAAACUAUGGCCAGUGUGAGGCCAAGGGAAGCAGGAAGCCUGAAGGCCGGGUCACAGGGAGGGG
ensembl:lncRNA